AGACAAAGAAGAAGAAAAAAU
rnacentral:sRNA from 1 species